rnacentral:rRNA from 1 species
GUGAGGAAUAUUGGUCAAUGGGCGGAAGCCUGAACCAGCCAAGUCGCGUGAAGGAAGAAGGAUCUAUGGUUUGUAAACUUCUUUUGAAGGGGGAUAAAGUGCGUCACGAGUGAUGCAUUGCAGGUACCCUUGGAAUAAGCAUCGGCUAACUCCGUGCCAGCAGCCGCGGUAAUACGGAGGAUGCGAGCGUUAUCCGGAUUUAUUGGGUUUAAAGGGUGCGUAGGUGGCUUUUUAAGUCAGCGGUGAAAACUGGCGGCUCAACCGCAAGAGUGCCGUUGAAACUGGGGAGCUAGAGUAUGAACGAGGUAGGCGGAAUGUGUGGUGUAGCGGUGAAAUGCAUAGAUAUCACGCAGAACUCCGAUAGCGAAGGCAGCUUACCAGGCCAUAACAGACACUGAAGCACGAAAGCGUGGGGAUCGAACAGGAUUAGAAACCCGUGUAGUCC